UGGCAACAAAUGGCCACAAACCGAUCAAAGGUGAAAGUGACGGUGAACCAGACAGAGCAGUCAGUGGCUGCAUAAAGCAGGACGGCGUGGAUAUUACACACGGGGACGGAGUACAGGAAAUAAAACUGUUCCCGAUAAACAAUGGGAAUGUGUCUCAGGAUCAGGUCGAGGAUAAUGACCAGGAGAUCCGCCGCUGCCAUGGCCCCCAGGGACAUAUAAACAUAUUUUCAAAUCGACCGAGACCAUUUUCUGCUCAGGGUAUGGCUUCGUGUAUGACAGCAGCAAUGAUGUACCGACAUGGAACAGGGAAUGUGAUGGAGACAUAGUUUGGACAAUGUACAAGGAGACCUCACAUGGUCCAGUUUGGGAGAGGAUGGCAUUACUGUGUGAUUCAGCUCAGAGAGGGAGAAAAUGUCAUUUGCCCGAGAAGGAACAUCCGAUUGCACUCUCUCUCCUUCGUUGUUCCUCAUCACAGCAAUGUGUGCAAGCUAAAAAAACAUCUCUACAGUCAUCAUUACCAUUCUUAUUUUUAUGGAAUCCCUGCAGUGUUGAAACAGUCCCUUCAGCCCAACAAGUCCAUACCAACCUUCCCAACCCAUUCCCCUAUAUUUACCCUUGACUAAUGUACCCAACCUAGAAAUCCCUGAACACUACAGGCAAUUUAGCAUGACCAAUCCACCUAAUUGAACUGUGGUAGGAAACUAGAUCACCCAUUUAGAAGCUCACACAGAAAGGGGGAGAAUGUGCAAACUCCACACAGACAGUCACCCAAGGCUGGAAUCGACCCCAAGUCCCUGGUGCUAUGAGGCAGCAGUGCUAACCACCGUGCUACCCUUUGGGUGAUCCCUGACCAGAAUUCGUUGGAAUCUACUCACUGCUUAAAGCAAAGGGAAUUCAGCCAAAUCCAACUCUCCUAGGAUGAAAUCCCAUUGCUAGCAGCUGUGUGAGUACAAUAUCUUCAGAAGCAGAAUAAUGUUUUGGACAAACUCACAAUGUUUCCUUUUGUCAUGAGUUCCAAUAAUAUCUGGACAAAGUUCUUUUAAGUUAAAA